rnacentral:rRNA from 1 species
UACGUAGGGAGCGAGCGUUGUCCGGAUUCAUUGGGCGUAAAGAGCUCGUAGGCGGCUUGGCAAGUCGGGUGUGAAAACUCCAGCUCAACCUGGAGACGCCACCUGAUACUGCCAUGGCUAGAGUCCGGUAGGGGACCACGGAAUUCCUGGUGUAGCGGUGAAAUGCGUAGAUAUGCGGAGGAACACCGAUGGCGAAGGCAAUCCCCGUGGACCUCGUACUGACGCUCAUGCACGAAAGCGUGGGGAG